rnacentral:lncRNA from 1 species
GGGCCUCGCCUUCCUACCAAACUCCAGCCCUGCAGAACUAUUUAGGUAAACGUCCAGAAGGCUCAUGGGGAAGCCACAGAAGCAGCUCAGCUCUGUACGCUGGGGAACGCUUGUCACCUGCCCAAAACAGACUCAGUGAUGAAGAGAGCUUUUCCAUGGCCGUGGGUCCAAAUUCCUCUCUAUUGUGUGGAGAAACUGAGGCAUAGCAAGGUCCACGGAGGAGUCCAAGGCCGGGACAGGUUCGGGGCUUCUCCAGCAUCUCUCUGUGACGUCUGAAGUCCAGACUCAAGGUCAGGAUGUCUGGCUUUGCAGCAGCCUUGUCACUGUGAGGGCACGAACUCCAUGGAGGGGCCCCAUCCUCUGCCCCAAGGGGACCCCACGAUCGGUGCCAGAAGCCACAGGCAGGGUCCCCCAAGCCUGCCC